ensembl:misc_RNA Metazoa_SRP Metazoan signal recognition particle RNA
GCCGGGUGCGGUGGCGCGCGCCUGUAAUCCAAGCUACCGGGAGGCUGAGGCUGGCGGAUCGCUUGAGCUCAGGAGCUCUGAGCUGCAGCGGACUAUGCCGAUCGGGUGUCCGCACUAAGUUCGGUAUCGAUAUGGUGCUCCUGGGGGAGCUCGGGACCACCAGGUCGCCUAAGGAGGGGUGCACCGGCCCAGGUCGGAAACGGAGCAGGUCAAAGCCCCCGUGCCGCUCAGUAGUGGGAUCGCGCCUGUGAAUAGACGCUGUAGUGCAGCCUGAGUAAUACAGCGGGACCCAGUCUUUU